AGGGAACAUUGUAAUGAAUUAAAGAACUGUUCACACGGCUGAAAGAAAACAAGGUUAUGGAGAAAACAUGUACCAUGCUGCGUCCCAUUGCCUUGUAUGGUGGCUGUCGCUGCUGAGUAAGCGUUGUCUUCCUCCUUCAUCCACCAAGGAAACACUAUGGUGUGCCUGAAUACAUGAGCUCCACAACACUUUGCUGACAUAAGGGUUGCCCCCAUUUUAAAGGUACAAAAAGCUGAGGCAUAGCAACUUACCCAUCUGCAGCCAAGUCUGGAGUUCAGCCCAGGACUCCUGACCAUGAAUCCAGCGCUUGAACCCAGAUGAUCACCCUCAGGGUCACAGAAGAAAGGCUUACCUGUGGCUUGCUAUCUGAAGAAAGGUUUGGACGCACACUCCUAUAACCCUUGGCAGCCAGAGAAGAUGGCUGGGAAUCCCCAUUGGCAUCAGUGUUAGACGACGACCUCCAAUCAUCUAUGACGGGAAAGAAAACUCAGAUCACAGAAGAUUCCUUCCAGCUACAGGAUAAGUGAAAGGGGGGGACUCUUUUCUUCCUUUUGUUUUUCCAUUUGUUUUUCCCAGGCAACAAGAAAUAAUUCCAAUAAUGCAGCAGAAGUAACAGCAUAAGCAGACAAUG